UAGGGAAUCUUCGGCAAUGGACGAAAGUCUGACCGAGCAACGCCGCGUGAGUGAAGAAGGUUUUCGGAUCGUAAAACUCUGUUGUUAGAGAAGAACAAGGACGUUAGUAACUGAACGUCCCCUGACGGUAUCUAACCAGAAAGCCACGGCUAACUACGUGCCAGCAGCCGCGGUAAUACGUAGGUGGCAAGCGUUUUCCGGAUUUAUUGGGCGUAAAGCGAGCGCAGGCGGUUUCUUAAGUCUGAUGUGAAAGCCCCCGGCUCAACCGGGGAGGGUCAUUGGAAACUGGGAAACUUGAGUGCAGAAGAGGAGAGUGGAAUUCCAUGUGUAGCGGUGAAAUGCGUAGAUAUAUGGGGGAACACCAGUGGCGAAGGCGGCUCUCUGGUCUGUAACUGACGCUGAGGCUCGAAAGCGUGGGGAGCAAACAGG
rnacentral:rRNA from 1 species